CAGGUGUGUAGGCUGAAACCAGGGGGCUCAAUCAGCAGGUGGAAUCUAAGGCAGGACUUGCUCAUCCUCAACGAAGGCCAAAACAUUAGUGAAGAAAACAGAGGAAUCCUAACCAUCCCAGGACAAUCCCAGGAACCAGUUUGAGGUCAUCUGAACUUUGUAACAUGUAAUCAUCAUAUGACCAACUCUGAAAACUGAAAACAUCUUAAAGAUCUAACCUUCUCAUGUCCCCAUUUUAUUGUUUUUUCCAUUAAUUUCCAGGACGUCUAGGAAACGUCUGGCUGCAGCUGGAGUCACAACACGGAGCAGCCCGUGGCCUCUCUGGUCUGCAGGAUCCUGAUCAGGGCCGUGACUGUUUUCAGACCUGCUGAGACCUUAUCCACAGGCUGUUUUCUCUGAACCCUAGAGUUGGUAGUGUGGGGAAAAUCCCAGCAGAUCAGCACUUUCUGAAAUAUUUUGACCAGCCCAUCUGGCCCCAGCCUGUUGACCUGCCGAGCCUGAAAAACACUGGUUAAAACCCUGUUUGAUCUCAAGAACUGAAGAGGAGAUAAUUAUAAUGGAUCAUUAGCAACACAGAUCAAGAAAAGCAGGGUACACCCUUAACAUGUUGCCAUUCUGUCUCAAGGGUUAAAGGUAAAAUAGAGAAUUACAAGUUAAUCCUGUUGAAAGCCUGACAUAACAAACAUGAAAAGCUUUAAAAAUGGCACGAAAGACUGCAGCUGGGUUAGUCCUGACUUUGUGUGGUGUGUGGGUCGAGAAUAAAGUUGUCAUAGUGCUAGCUACCAAUUCACACUACCACAACAUACCAUGCCUCAGUUAAAACCAGUCUUAACUUCUUCAGACAUCGGCCUGCUUGCAGUAACACAAGUGUCUCGGUCACAGCUGUUUACAUCCUCGUCUCUCACGCAGUGCUGACCUGUUGAGAGGUUCGGGGCACAUGUGGAAAUCUGUCUGCCACAGCUAUCUUUAAUAUUUCACACCUCCGUGUGGAGAAUAGGGGGAG
ensembl:lncRNA